rnacentral:rRNA from 1 species
AUUGAACGCUGGCGGCAGGCCUAACACAUGCAAGUCGAGCGGAUGAAGGGAGCUUGCUCCUGGAUUCAGCGGCGGACGGGUGAGUAAUGCAUAGGAAUCUGCCUGGUUGUGGGGGAUAACGUCCGGAAACGGGCGCUAAUACCGCAUACGUCCUGAGGGAGAAAGUGGGGGAUCGUCGGACCUCACGCUAUCAGAUGAGCCUAGGUCGGUUUGGCUAGUUGGUGGGGUAAAGGCCUACCAAGGCGACGAUCCGUAACUGGUCUGAGAGGAUGAUCAGUCACACUGGAACUGAGACACGGUCCAGACUCCUACGGGAGGCAGCAGUGGGGAAUAUUGGACAAUAGGCGGAAGCCUGAUCCAGCCAUGCCGCGUGUGUGAAGAAGGUCUUCGGAUUGUAAAGCACUCUAAGUUGGGAGGAAGGGCAGUAAGUUAAUACCUUGCUGUUUUGACGUUACCAACAGAAUAAGCACCGGCUAACUUCGUG